CACCGCCUGGGGAGUACGACCGCAAGGUUAAAACUCAAAUGAAUUGACGGGGACCCGCACAAGUAGUGGAGCAUGUGGUUUAAUUCGAAGAUACGCGCAGAACCUUACCAACACUUGACAUGUUCGUCGCGACUUUAAGAGAUUAAAGUUUUCGGUUCGGCCGGACGAAACACAGGUGCUGCAUGGCUGUCGUCAGCUCGUGUCGUGAGAUGUUGGGUUAAGUCCCGCAACGAGCGCAACCCUCACUUUUAGUUGCCAUCAUUUAGUUGGGCACUCUGAAAGAACUGCCAGUGAUAAGCUGGAGGAAGGUGGGGAUGACGUCAAGUCCUCAUGGCCCUUACGUGUUGGGCUACACACGUGCUACAAUGGCAUUUACAAUAGGAAGCAAGAUGGCGACAUCAAGCAAAUCCUAAAAAAAUGCCUCAGUUCGGAUUGUACUCUGCAACUCGAGUACAUGAAGCUGGAAUUACUAGUAAUCGCGGAUCAGCGCGCCGCGGUGAAUACGUUCCCGGGUCUUGUACACACCGCCCGUCACACCAUGGGAGUUGGUUCUACCUUAAGGCAAAGCUUAAAACCUUUGACCACGGUAUAGUCAGCGACUGGGGUGAAGUCGUAACAAGGUAGCCGUAGGGGAACCUGCGGCUGGAUUACCUCCUUUCUAAGGAUGAUUAAGGAUUAUUUCUUAAUCUAAAUAUUUAACAGGUUAAUGUUGACCGUCCUCAUUUCUCUUCUUAAAAAAAGUGUUUCUCUUUAUCUAAAUACGGGCCGGUAGCUCAGUUGGUUAGAGCACACCCUUGAUAAGGGUGGGGUCGAAAGUUCGAGUCUUUCUCGGCCCACCAAAUUAAUGAAAAGAUUAGCUCAGCUGGGAGAGCGCCUGAUUUGCAUUCAGGAGGUCAGCGGUUCGAUCCCGCUAUCCUCCACCAAGAAACACUUAGUUAUUUUAUUUGUGAAUAAAUUUAAUAUUAUCAAUAUCUAUAUCCGAUUGUUCGAAUAGAUGAACAAUCACGAAUGUUCGAAUAGAUGAACAUUCUAAAAAAUUUGAUUCAACACAGAAUUUUUUUCUG
rnacentral:sRNA from 1 species